AGGAGCAACAAAGAGUCUUGACUUUUAUAGGGGUGCAGAUUUUAAAGAAAGAAAACUGUGUUGUAAAGAAAGAAGAUUUUCCAUCAAAUAAUGGUGGAUGACAAAGUUCUUCCUAUGAAUGAUGUCAUAACCCACUUUGAAAAAAAAGUUUGUUGGAGAGAAAAGGAUCUGAAGAGGGAGAAAGAAUUGUUUAUAUUCAGAUGGAUUUAUAGACUGUUAGACCUUUUGCUGUCACUUAAUUCUGUACUAUUAGUUCUGCAACACUGAGCCUAUAAGCUUUUGACUUGACGGUUUAUCUUAUUUGAGAGAGCAUAGUCCAUUUUUUAGGCAUUUCAAGAUUAACAAUGCAGAAUAUGUACAUAUGUAAUGGCAGGUAAAAAUCCCACACAAACAGGACACUGAUAAGACUGGAAUUUAGAGAUAUUUCAUUUCUCUCUUGUGUGAAUUAAAAAAAAUUAAUGCCAGAAACAAUAUAAUAAAUUAAUAACUUAG